rnacentral:rRNA from 1 species
AUACGGAGGGGGUUAGCGUUGUUCGGAAUUACUGGGCGUAAAGCGCACGUAGGCGGAUUGGAAAGUUGGGGGUGAAAUCCCAGGGCUCAACCCUGGAACUGCCUCCAAAACUAACAGUCUAGAGUUCGCGAGAGGUGAGUGGAAUUCCAAGUGUAGAGGUGAAAUUCGUAGAUAUUUGGAGGAACACCAGUGGCGAAGGCGGCUCACUGGCUCGAUACUGACGCUGAGGUGCGAAAGCGUGGGGAGCAAACAGAAUUAGAAACCCUAGUAGUCC